rnacentral:rRNA from 1 species
GAGGAAUAUUGGACAAUGGGCGCAAGCCUGAUCCAGCCAUGCCGCGUGCAGGAUGAAGCAUCUAUGGUGUGUAAACUGCUUUUGUACGAGAAGAAACAUCCCUACGUGUAGGGACUUGACGGUAUCGUAAGAAUAAGGAUCGGCUAACUCCGUGCCAGCAGCCGCGGUAAUACGGAGGAUCCAAGCGUUAUCCGGAAUCAUUGGGUUUAAAGGGUCCGUAGGCGGUCUUAUAAGUCAGUGGUGAAAUCUCCCCGCUCAACGGGGAAACGGCCAUUGAUACUGUAGGACUUGAAUUAUUAGGAAGUAACUAGAAUAUGUAGUGUAGCGGUGAAAUGCUUAGAGAUUACAUGGAAUACCAAUUGCGAAGGCAGGUUACUACUAAUGGAUUGACGCUGAUGGACGAAAGCGUGGGUAGCGAAC